rnacentral:sRNA from 19 species
GCCCAUGUGGUAUGCUGACGUUAUUGGAAACAACCGUAGCGCGUUCUUGAAUGCGCAGGACAGCUAAGCCACAUGGGUUU